AUUGAACGCUGGCGGCAUGCCUUACACAUGCAAGUCGAACGGUAACAGGUCUUCGGAUGCUGACGAGUGGCGAACGGGUGAGUAAUACAUCGGAACGUGCCUAGUAGUGGGGGAUAACUACUCGAAAGAGUGGCUAAUACCGCAUGAGCUCUACGGAUGCAAGCAGGGGAUCGUAAGACCUUGUGCUACUAGAGCGGCCGAUGGCAGAUUAGGGAGUUGGUGGGAUAAAAGCUUACCAAGCCGACGAUCUGUAGCUGGUCUGAGAGGACGAUCAGCCACACUGGGACUGAGACACGGCCCAGACUCCUACGGGAGGCAGCAGUGGGGAAUUUUGGACAAUGGGCGCAAGCCUGAUCCAGCAAUGCCGCGUGCAGGAUGAAGGCCUUCGGGUUGUAAACUGCUUUUGUACGGAACGAAAAGCCCCGGGUUAAUACCCUGGGGUCAUGACGGUACCGUAAGAAUAAGCACCGGCUAACUACGUGCCAGCCGCCGCAGUAA
rnacentral:rRNA from 1 species